rnacentral:rRNA from 1 species
GAUGAACGCUAGCUACAGGCUUAACACAUGCAAGUCGAGGGGAAACGACAUUGGAAGCUUGCUUCCUUUGGGCGUCGACCGGCGCACGGGUGAGUAACGCGUAUCCAACCUUCCCAUGUCCCACGGGAUAGCCCGUCGAAAGGCGGAUUAAUACCGUAUGAGGUCACAUGCGGGCAUCUAAGUGUGACGAAAGGUUUAGCGGACAUGGAUGGGGAUGCGUCCGAUUAGCUUGUUGGCGGGGUAACGGCCCACCAAGGCGACGAUCGGUAGGGGUUCUGAGAGGAAGGUCCCCCACAUUGGAACUGAGACACGGUCCAAACUCCUACGGGAGGCAGCAGUGAGGAAUAUUGGUCAAUGGACGGGAGUCUGAACCAGCCAAAGUAGCGUGCAGGACGACGGCCCUAUGGGUUGUAAACUGCUUUUAUGCGGGGAUAAAAGUGUGGACGUGUCCCAUAUUGCAGGUACUGCAUGAAUAAGGACCGGCUAAUUCCGUGCCAGCAGCCG